GACGAACGCUGGCGGCGUGCUUAACACAUGCAAGUCGAACGGAAAGGCCCUGCUUUUGUGGGGUGCUCGAGUGGCGAACGGGUGGGUAACACGUGAGUAACCUGCCCUUGACUUUGGGAUAACUUCAGGAAACUGGGGCUAAUACCGGAUAGGAGCUCCUGCUGCAUGGUGGGGGUUGGAAAGUUUCGGCGGUUGGGGAUGGACUCGCGGCUUAUCAGCUUGUUGGUGGGGUAGUGGCUUACCAAGGCUUUGACGGGUAGCCGGCCUGAGAGGGUGACCGGCCACAUUGGGACUGAGAUACGGCCCAGACUCCUACGGGAGGCAGCAGUGGGGAAUAUUGCACAAUGGGCGGAAGCCUGAUGCAGCAACGCCGCGUGCGGGAUGACGGCCUUCGGGCUGUAAACCGCUUUCGCCUGUGACGAAGCGUGAGUGACGGUAAUGGGUAAAGAAGCACCGGCUAACUACGUG
rnacentral:rRNA from 1 species